rnacentral:rRNA from 1 species
AUUGAACGCUGGCGGCAUGCCUAACACAUGCAAGUCGAACGAGUGGCGGACGGGUGAGUAAUGUCUGGGAAACUGCCUGAUGGAGGGGGAUAACUACUGUAAACGGUAGCUAAUACCGCAUACCAUCGGAUGUGCCCAGAUGGGAUUAGCUAGUAGGUGGGGUAAAGGCUCACCUAGGCGACGAUCCCUAGCUGGUCUGAGAGGAUGACCAGCCACACUGGGACUGAGACACGGUCCAGAGUCAUACGGAAGGCAGCAGUGGGGAAUAUUGAACAAUGGGCGCAAGACUGAUGACGACAUGCCGCGUGUAUGAAGAAGGCAUUCGGGUUGUAAAGUACAUUCAGCGGGGAGGCGUUACCCGCAGAAGAAGCACCGGCUAACUCCGUGCCAGCAGCCGCGGUAAUUC